rnacentral:lncRNA from 1 species
GAAUGAACUUCAAGAUCAAACUUUUCUUUGGACAACAAAUUAGAUUUAACAUCCUCAAAGGAUAAGGUAUCAUUGUUUCCAUACAACAUGAUUUCCUUGAAGUGUUUGUAGGUAGAAGGUAAAGAGACAACCAACAAAACAGCUUUAUCUUCAUCAUCAAUUUUAAUAUCAAUAUUUUCCAGAUCCAAAAUUAUAGAGUUAAACUCAUCAAGAUGAGAUUGAAUAGGAGUACCUUCAACCAUACGAAUGGUGUAUAAGCGUUCUUUGAGACGAAGCUUGUUUGCGAGGCUCUUUGUCAUAUAUAAGGCUUCUAACUUCAGCCAUAAUGCGGCGGCGGGCGCUUCACUGGCCACCCCCCGGAGAACCCCUUUUGAUAAGCAAAGAUGGAUUGUUGAAAGCGCCUUGUCAUCCAACUCGUCCCAUUGAUCGUCAGUCAUGGAAGCUGGCUUCUUCGCCUUGCCAUCUAAGGUUUUCUUUAAUCCGUCCUGAGUAAGAACCGCUUUCAUUUGGACUCCCCAAAUACAAAAGCUAAUCUUGCCAUCAAACUUCUCGAUGUCAAAUUUAGGAGACAUUUUGAAAUUCUCAAUAAGAGCUCUGAUACCACUUGUUAGGGUAUCAGCGCAAUGCGGAAGCACAGGAUCGAGAUAAUUGAGAAUUAAAGAGAAGUAAAAGUAAAGUGGCAAGAAAAAGAACACACAAGAUUUACGUGGAAAAACCCUCCCAAUGUGAGAGGUAAAAAACCACGAGCGAUCACGAGCAAAGUUCAACUAUAUAAAAGGGAGAGUACAACAAAUCCUCUUAUAGAAAAUGAGGAUAAAGAGAAAUAUUUGCACUAAACUACUCUCUCAAAUGGAACAAGAAUCCUCACCAAGAAGACUCACUACAAUUCACUCAUAUGUGUAUUACAAUUGCUUCAAAGUGUGUGUUGCAAUUCCUUCCAUUCCCGUUUGCAUCAUAUUUAUAGCCUCCGAUCAAGUACUUAGGAGUGAAGAUAUUAAGCAAUUGAAGGACAUGUGUUACAUGCAAAUAGCAUGAGCUGGAAGACUAUAAUUAAGUCACGAAAACAAAGCAUGAGGUGCAAUGUUAGUAACAUGCAAAUCAAGUAGGAGGUGUAAUGCUAUGAAGAAAAGUCUUGCUUUGUCAUGCUUGUUAUGUUGAUGGUGAAUCAUGUAGAUUUGGAUGUGGCAUGAUAUGAAGCAAUCUAGCAAUUGCUUAGUCACAAGCUAAUGAUGCAUAACACAAGCCGGAGGAGAGAUACUAAGAGACCAUCGCAACAAGCAUGAGAUGUAAUUGAGAGAAUUAGAGACAAAAUUUAACAAUCUCCACCUUGGAUCAAAGUCGACAAGUGCGCGUCGCCAAAGAAAGCCCCGAAGGGCGCUCAAGUACUAAAGAGACCAACCAAGUCCAGACAAUGCUGGAACUUGGAAUAUGGAAGUGGCUUGGUAAGCAUAUCUGCUGGAUUCUCAGACGUGUGAAUCUUUUCAACUAAGAUUUCACCCGCAACAACAAUAACUCGGAUAAAGUGGCGCUUUACAUCAAUGUGUUUGGUCCUGUCGUGAUAACGAUUAUUUUUGGUCAAGUGAAUAGCACUUUGGCUAUCACAAAACACAGUAAGAACACCCUGUGUAAGACCAAGUUCAUUGACCAAACCUCGAAGCCAAAUAGCCUCCUUGACACCCUCUGUUGCUGAAAUAUACUCCGCUUCAGUCGUAGAUAAUGCAGCAAUAGAUUGAAGUGUAACACCCCUCUAUGAGUGGUGCAUAUUAGAGUUACCCUUGAAAAUUACCAAACCUUCCCUUUUCCAACCAAAGGUAAAGAGACAACCAACAAAGCAGCUUUAUCUUCAUCAUCAAUUUUAAUAUCAAUAUUUUCCAGAUCCAAGAUAAUAGAGUUAAACUCAUCGAGAUGAGUUUGAAUAGGAGUACCUUCAACCAUUCGAAUGGUAUAUAAGCGUUCUUUG